GCACAAGCAGCGGAGCGUGUGGUUUAAUUCGAUGCUACACGAAGAACCUUACCUGGGUUUGACAUAGAGGUAGUAGGGAAGCGAAAGCGGACGACCUUCGGGAGCCUCUUACAGGUGUUGCAUGGCUGUCGUCAGCUCGUGUCGUGAGAUGUUCGGUUAAGUCCGCUAACGAGCGCAACCCUCGCUGUGUGUUACAAGUGUCACACGGUACUGCCGAUAUUAAGUCGGAGGAAGGUGGGGAUGACGUCAAGUCAGCAUGACCUUUAUAUCCAGGGCUACACACACGCUACAAUGGCCAGUACAAUGGGUUGCCAAGCCGCGAGGCGGAGCCAAUCCUAAAAAGCUGGCCUCAGUUCAGAUUGCAGUCUGCAACUCGACUGCAUGAAGUUGGAGUUGCUAGUAACCGCAGGUCAGCAAUACUGCGGUGAAUACGUUCCCGGGGCUU
rnacentral:rRNA from 1 species